ACUGGGGAUUUAUUCGUGCGCUGUAUUAUCCUCCAUCUACGUCCUAUCCGGUGGACUGACGUUUUCUCGAGAGCGGAAAAAUUAGAAAAUAUAAAAUGGAAAAUAACGAGGGAUAUUUUGAAAGAGAAUCGGAACUCGAAUCUCUUUCUCUCUUUCUCUCUCUCCAAAUCAUUCCAAAUCCCUAAUCCUCAAUCUCUCCGCUCUUCUCGUCUUCUAGGGUUUCCUUGAUCUCCCCCCGUCAAUGCCGGCGACGGUGACGACGACGGCGGUGGUGGGGCGAGGCCUCCACCCGGGCGAGUGCGGCGGCGACGGAUGCGACGCCCGGAACCCCUGGCCGCUCCACAACGUCCGCCACCGCGGCGUCUUCUGCCGCCUCUGCACCUCCUGCGUCCUCAGAUACCACCAUGGAUCCUUCUGCUCCACCUGCUUCGACGUCCUCGAAGGCGCCGCCGCCACCGCCUGCGGCGGAGACACCUCGCCGGCAGACCGCCCCGUCGUCCAAUGUUCCAAGUGCCCCUCUGUCUCCCACCUUGCCUGCCUCUCCGCCCCCGAGCUCGCUGCCCAGUUUGUCUGCCCUAGCUGCAAGAACCUCGAUGGCUUCUCCUACUUCCCUGUCUCCACGCGAGAAGAGACUGCCAGUGAAGGCGAGAGACCUUCAGAUGGAAGUCGGAAUACGAUUGACUCUUCCAACGCGAAGGCGCUUCUUGCCGCCGCGCAGUUUGCGGCAGCUUCGAUGAGCAGAGCGGCGGCGGCCGCGAGGGCUGAGGCCGAGCGGAAGGUUAAGGAGGCUGUGAUGGCAAGGAAGAGGGCAAGGGAGAUGCUUGAGACAGCUUGUGUAGUUUCCAAGAGAGAAAAGGAAAAGGAAGUCAAGGUGGAGCUGGGGACAGCAUUGGUAUCCAAACCAGAGGAGGUGGAGCCAAAGAAGAAAAUGCUGCAGCCGAGCAGGACUGUUGCUGCUGUCCUGGCAGCACAGAAGAGGAUCCAGAAUAGGGAGAGGGAGAAGCUGAGGAAGUUCCAUGAUCCACUCACUGUGAGGCAGAGGCCUGCGCAGGGAAUUGCAGAGAAGGAUAAGUCUCAUGAAACUUCAAUGUCUGGCCCGAAGAAUGUCUCGGGGAACGUGAAAAAUGGUCUGGGAAGUUCAUCGAAACCCACAGAUCAUGUAGUACAUGAGAAGGGGAAAAAGGGGAUGCUUUCUGGUCCUGAAAGAGGCAGCACUGAUGAGGAAAACAGAAAUUUAACAAAGAAUGCUGCUAAGGGUACCAGGGGAGCUCAAUAGAUUCGAGGUGAAGAUUCAUCAAUGUCCAGAACUAAAACAGGAGCUUUUACUGGUCUGUGAAAGACAGCUAGUCAGCGUUCAUGGGUUGCUUUUGUGGCCAAGCUGUUCCUGAAAAUGCUUGAGAUUGAUUGUGAAUGGUGUGAGUUAGGUACUUCCAUGAGGAUCUCCUUGUCUAUACUGUGCUAUCUUAUAGUCCAAAUGCCUGGACCUAGGGCCAUGCAAGGCUGGAUGCUGAAGUCUGAGCCAUCCUCAUUGCUGCAUCCCUUCCCCUCAUGUGUCACGGCCUUCAUCUAAUUAUUGAUCGAAAAGUCUUUUCUUUUCUUUUUCUUCUUUUUGUUAUUGCUAGUCUCAAUGUCACAGGACUUGAUGCGGUGUUCAGUAAGAUUUUGUUUUCUUUUUUUUAAUUCCUUCUCAUGUUUUUGUGAACUGUAAUCUUGGACUCUCAGAUUUGCCAAUGAGAAUAAAAUGAAGCGGCAAUUGGAGAAA